rnacentral:tRNA from 1 species
GCCCCGGUAGCUCAGUGGAUAGAGCAAUGGUUUCCUAAACCACAGGUCGGAGGUUCGAUUCCUCUCCGGGGUACAA